rnacentral:rRNA from 1 species
AUGCCCAGGAAACUUCCUUCUUCAGUAUGUAUGGGGAUUUAUAUGACACCAAAAGAGAAGUCCGGCGUGUUUCUUGGUUCUAUGGAACCCCUCGACCGGAAGCAAAUAGAUCACAUCGCAAGUUGCUUGCCCAAUAUAAUCGUGCCGCAAGUUACCAACAUCGCGUGCUUAUACACCAUCGACUUUGCUGGAAAUCUAUCUGUCCGUGCUCCAUCGUCUGUCGGAACUUCUUCUGCCCAUGCUACACCUGAGCUCAACACUGCAUCGCCCGGUUCGUUUGCUUGCUUCCUUUGCUUGGCUCAGGAAGGAGAAGGCCAGGACUAG